AUGCAAGCUUUACUUAUCUACAAACUCAAAUUAUAAAGUAAUAGGCAAAAGACAUGGCAGCAUCAAAAACAACCAUCUUUAUUGUUUUAAUCAUUUGUUCUCAAUGCACAUUAUUAGUGAGUGUCUCUGGACAAGCCAAAGGAUCUUCAUGCUCGACAUCAACUGAUUGCGAGUUGCUGUGUUUUGGAGAAAAAGGGAGAGUACGUCAGGAAUGUGUGCACGGAAAGUGCAGUUGUUUGGAGCAAAAAACCGAAACAGAACUGGCCAAGACCAUAAGUUGCAAAACGGACCCUGAUUGUCCCGAUUCAGGAUGCCCUGAAACCUAUUUUUACCUAUGUAUUCGUGGAAAAUGUACUUGUAUAACAAAAUAAGUUAAUUGAUUGAAAUAAUAAACUGUGACUCCUACCAUAUAUAUAUA